AUGCUAGGCUUGGAGAAUGCUCUAUUUAAUGAUGUUUCAAGAACACUAAUCCUCAAUGAGUAUUUUCAUCUGUUCUUUAUUCUAGAUGUUAUCUGCUGUGUAAAACUACAACAGCUACCCACACAUUUUUUUUACGGAGUUCCCUCUCUGAACACUGGUGCUCUAUAUUUAUCUGUUCAAGCUAAAAGACUACUAGGGAAAGAGAUUCUUAUAAUUAACCCUCUUUCAACCAAAAAUGCAGUGAGAAGGACAUGAGAACUUUUGCCGGGAAACCGCAGGAUAUGUUUGAGAAAAGAAUAGAGCUGCAGGAGACGAAGAGGAAGGAGGACCAACCCUCAGCAUGGACAGCUUCGGCUCUCACCAGACCUAGGUUUAAAUCCAAAGUACUUGUCCUGUGCACCUGCAUCCACAGCCCUAACACGGUUCAUCAUACUUAAGAACAAGUAAACCUAUCUCGUUCUCAAUUUUCUUAUCUAUAAAACUGGAAUAAUACCUCUCACAGGGCUAUGAUGGGAAUCUAAAGAAGUGGCACUCAGAUCUUGGAUGCAUUUUUGCUAUAUCUACUCCUUUAUAGAGGUCAGGUAGCUCAAGCUAAUCUAUUUGCUUUUUUAUUAUUGGACAAAUUAUCAGACACAUUGCCAGGCAAGAUGGUGCACACCGGUAAUCCAACCACUCUGGUGGCUGAAGCAGAAGAAUCAUUGUGAGUUUGAGCCUUGCCUGGGCUACAUAGUGAAUCCAAGGUCAGCCUGAGCUACACUGCAAGACACUGUCUCAAAAAAUAAAUUAAUUAAUUAAACAUGAUCAGACACAUUAACUUUCUCUGAACUAAAAUUUAAAACUGACAAAAUUAUUCUUUUGUUUGUCUGAGACAGCGUUACGUAGCCCAGGCUGGCCUUGAAAGUCCAGGGAUCCUUCUGCCUCAGCCUCCCACUGCAAUCACAGGCAUGCACCACCAUACCCAGCUAAAUGCUUUUAUUUUCAAAGAAAUGUUAAAAUGUAACGUCACAUCACCCAGUUACUCCAGAAAUGCAUUACAAACUAGGUACAGCGGUACACACCUGUAAUCCCAGUACUCGGGAGGCUGAGGCAGGAGGAUCAUCUCAAGUUUGAGAUCAGCCUGGGCUACAAAGCGAGCUCAAAGCCAGCCUGAACUGCAUAGAGAGACUCUGUCUCAAAAAGAAAAAAACAGAAAUGCAUUACAAAAAGUUGAUCCUUAGCAUGCUAUUAGACCCAGUUGGUGAUGUAAUUUAUCAAGUUAUAUUUUUAUCAACAUAAAAGAUUCAAGCCUGUAUACAAUUUAUGGACCAAUAAUUCCCUAAACUUAUUAAAAUUAAUUUGCUUAAAGUCAAUUUUCAUUUUUACACAGGCCCUCUCACUGUAAGCAUUUAACAAACUACAGGGAAAUAAAUGGAUUGUUUCCCUUUUGUUUUUAACUUACAGAGGACAGAUUUUUUCUCUUUAUGUUGGUUUGGCUUUUGUAGUACUGGAAUCUGACUCAAGCUUGUAUUUAUAAUAAUCUGCACAAUUAUCAGAUUUGCUGGCUACAGACUGAAAGUCAGUGAGGUCUAAAGAGCUAAUCCAAUGGUACCAACUCUGUUCACCAAUUCACUCUAAAGAAGUGUAAUAUUGAGCUAAGGACAGCACUGGCAAUACCACACUUAAAGCAGUUACCCAAAUUUGGCUAGCUAAGCAACAGACUAUUAAACAAAUCAGGGGGUGUGUGUAACAAGAUACACAUCUUUGUCUUGUCUCUCAGUAAGAUAAGUUGCCCACAAAUAAAACAUGUACAGAACUAGACAAGUCAGGGUCAAUCUGCAUCCUGAAGAUAAAUUCCAUCAGAAUUCAGAGAAGACAACAGAAUACAGAGGGAUUAGGAGCUAGGAACGAUGCAAAUUAAGAUUCAGACUAGGACUUCUUGAACCCACCCUCACCUAAAGGAAUUUUAAUCUUAGGUCUGUUAUUAAUCACAAACAUAACAAGUCACUUCACUCAGUUUUUUUUGUUUUGUUUUUGUCUUUUUGAGACAAGGUUUCACUACAUAGCCCAGGCUGGCCUCAGACUCCUGGCUCAGUGAUCCUCCUGCCUCAGCCUCCUGAGUACUGGGAUCACAGGCAUGCACCACCAUGCCCAGACUGGACUCAGUUUUUAAGCCAAUAAAUCAAGAAUGUUAGAUUCAAAUGCAGUUAUCAUUGGGCACAAUGGUACAUGCUUAUACUCCCAAUUAUUCAGGAAGCUGAAGCAGGAGAAUCACAACCCCAUCUCAAAGUAAAAAAGGAUGAGGAUGUACCUCAGUGAUAGAAUGCCCCUGAGUUCAAUUCCUAGUACUGCAAAACAACACAACAAAACAAAAACAACUACAGAAAAGAGACAUAGGGAACAAUCUUUGCCCUGAAAGGAACCUUGGAGAUUAGAGUAACUGGGGUGACCAAGGCUGAAUUUUAGCUACAAAACUGCAUAAGCAUUUAGUGUGCAUGAAUGCGACAUUUGAGGAUGGAGCCGAGACUGGCUUGAGUACAGGGAGUAUUUGUGCAAAGGCAGAUGGGGCCAGACCGUGAUAGACUCAAUUAACAAGCAACUUGCCUCUGCCAGGCAUGUACGCUCGUUAGAACUCUGAGGUUAAACUGAACAGUAUCACUGCCAAAGACUGCAACGUGUAAAGAAGGACAGCCACAAACCGUAACAGUACAAUGACAGACCUGAGUAAGAGAUUAAGAAAUUCAGCACAGCAGUUGACCACUAGGAAAUGCCAUACUUCAAAGCUGUCAUAAUCAGAGACAGUUUGAUUUAGCAAAGGAAUUACACAGCUCACAAAGAAAGGCAGUUCCUCUUAAAAGAACCACCCUAGAAAAUAGCAGCCACCUUCAAAAACCACACAGAAAAGCAUACAACAAACAUCUUAUGACACUCUAAACUCCAGUCACUGGCUAGAGAGCAGUAACAAGCUCUUCACACAGUAAGGCGAAAAUGACACUAAUGGAGUGAAAAUUUUGAAAAACUCCUACACCUUUACUCCAAUUUACUCAGUUGAAAGAUGUUUUAAAGCAAGUCAUGGUGUUAUGUGCCU
ensembl:lincRNA